rnacentral:rRNA from 1 species
GAGGAAUAUUGCACAAUGGAGGAAACUCUGAUGCAGCAACGCCGCGUGGAGGAUGACGCAUUUCGGUGUGUAAACUCCUUUUAAGAGGGAAGAUAAUGACGGUACCUCUUGAAUAAGCACCGGCUAACUCCGUGCCAGCAGCCGCGGUAAUACGGAGGGUGCAAGCGUUACUCGGAAUCACUGGGCGUAAAGGGUGCGUAGGCUGGCUUCUAAGUCAGAUGUGAAAUCCAAUGGCUUAACCAUUGAACUGCAUUUGAAACUGGAAGCCUAGAGUUCAGAAGGGGCAGAUGGAAUUAGUGGUGUAGGGGUAAAAUCCGUAGAUAUCACUAGGAAUAUCAAAAGCGAAGGCGAUCUGCUGGGAUGAUACUGACGCUGAGGCACGAAAGCGUGGGGAGCAAGCAG